AUUUAAAAAAAAUGCUGUGAGAGCUGAUCUAUGCAUCUGGUUUGUGAGCCAGUAUUCUGUGAUGGCUGCAGUUUUUAGAGAUCCUAGUAGCUCUACACAUCUGUCUUCUGCUUUCCUAGAACCUGGGCACCCCAUGGAUGACUCACUGCUGGUUUUGUGUGUGUGUGUGUGUGAUUUAAAAUUACAUUCAGUCAACUCUAUAGCCCUAUGGGCUUUUUGAAUAACCAAAUGCUCAACAGUUCUGUAAUCUUUCAGGUUGCUGUGAUCAGUCCCCAAGGAGUCUACACUCUCAAAGAGACUGGGAAAGGCCUGGCCAUGCUGGAUAAGGAGCUGGCUGCCUCUGUGAACAUCCUACUCAAGGCAUCUUCACUGCUGUACAUCCUUUUGAAAUCCCAGAGAUCUUCAGUCUCCCUGUGGAUUAAGGAGAUGUGCAGUAUUUAAAGUGGCUUCAGGAAGGCAUGGAAGAGGACUGAGUGGGGAAAGCUUUUUGUGCAUGCUGCUGGCUACCUCCAGCGGCUGCCUCCAGCCUCCAUCAGCUGCACUCUGGGGAAGAGGAGGCUGCCUUCUACCUCCCAGCAUCUCUGGAUUUCAUGUUCCUGUCAGCACAGAGGAGCUAAAUGGCCUGU
ensembl:lncRNA CUTALP cutA divalent cation tolerance like, pseudogene